rnacentral:ncRNA from 1 species
AUAUAUCUGCCACCGGGUAGAAAAUGCGAAAGCAUUCGCUGUAUGUCGUUAGGUCUUUGAAGAUAUACAGUCGAAUGCUUUUUUGUUC